CGCACGAUCAGCUGUGCCUAUUAUUUCUUAAAUUUCAGUCUGGGAAGUGUCAUGCGAUGGGAGGGUGACGCUGGGACACAGGAUUCCAGAAUGCAGCACAAACCUUCGCCUAAAGCCGUGAACUGUCACUUCUUCCCAGGUCCAGGAAUGCGUGUGCGGCGUGAAGGACAAGACACAUUUACACAGGGACCACCGGCACAACAUGAUGCUUGAAUAAAUGAAUGAAUAAAUAAGAAAAAAGAUAAAUGAAAGUAAAUAAACAAAACAGUAGGCCAAACGGAUUAAGGUGACAAGGUAAAGAAAUGCGAAUAAAUGUGAAUAAAUGAACAAAUAUUUAAGCAGAUGAAGAAAUAAAUAAAUAUAUACGUAUGCA